AUUGAACGCUGGCGGCAGGCCUAACACAUGCAAGUCGAGCGGAGCGGCGGACGGGUGAGUAAUGCCUAGGAAUCUGCCUGGUAGUGGGGGAUAACGUUCGGAAACGGGCGCUAAUACCGCAUACUAUUAGACUAGCCUAGGCCGGAUUGGGUAGAUGGUGGGGUAAAGGCCUACCAAGGCGACGACCCGUAACUGGUCUGAGAGGAUGAUCAGUCACACUGGAACUGAGACACGGUCCAGACUCCUACGGGAGGCAGCAGUGGGGAAUAUUGGACAAUGGGCGCAAGCCUGAUCCAGCCAUGCCGCGUGUGUGAAGAAGGUCUUCGGAUUGUAAAGCACUUUAAGUUGGGAGGCGUUACCAGCAGAAUAAGCACCGGCUAACUUCGUGCCAGCAGCCGCGGUAAUUC
rnacentral:rRNA from 1 species